UAUGGCCAUAUCACGUUGAAACACUAGUUUUGUCAGAUCACCAAAGUUAAGCAACGUCGCGCCUAGUCAGUACCUGGAUGGGUGACCACUUGGGAAUACCAGGUGC